rnacentral:rRNA from 2 species
GGGCUUGAUAUCCUAAGAACCUUUUAGAGAUAAGAGGGUGCUAGCUUGCUAGAACUUAGAGACAGGUGCUGCACGGCUGUCGUCAGCUCGUGUCGUGAGAUGUUGGGUUAAGUCCCGCAACGAGCGCAACCCACGUAUUUAGUUGCUAACGGUUCGGCCGAGCACUCUAAAUAGACUGCCUUCGUAAGGAGGAGGAAGGUGUGGACGACGUCAAGUCAUCAUGGCCCUUAUGCCCAGGGCGACACACGUGCUACAAUGGCAUAUACAAUGAGACGCAAUACCGCGAGGUGGAGCAAAUCUAUAAAAUAUGUCCCAGUUCGGAUUGUUCUCUGCAACUCGAGAGCAUGAAGCCGGAAUCGCUAGUAAUCGUAGAUCAGCCAUGCUACGGUGAAUACGUUCCCGGGUCUUGUACUCACCGCCCGUCACACCAUGGGAGUUGAUUUCACUCGAAGCCGGAAUACUAAACUAGUUACCGUCCACAGUGGAAUCAGCGACUGGGGUGAAGUCGUAACAAGGUAACCGUAGGAGAACCUGCGGUUGGAUCACCUCCUUU